UACGUAGGGUGCAAGCGUUGUCCGGAAUUAUUGGGCGUAAAGAGCUCGUAGGCGGUCUGUUGCGUCGGCUGUGAAAACCCGGGGCUCAACCCCGGGCCUGCAGCCGAUACGGGCAGACUAGAGUUCGGCAGGGGAGACUGGAAUUCCUGGUGUAGCGGUGAAAUGCGCAGAUAUCAGGAGGAACACCGGUGGCGAAAGCGGGUCUCUGGGCCGAUACUGACGCUGAGGAGCGAAAGCGUGGGGAGCGAACAGG
rnacentral:rRNA from 1 species